CAGCCGCUCUGAGUCAUGGCCUGAGCCAUCCAUGAGGUGAGCCAGCAGGCAUGGAGCUCUGAGAAGAUACCCAUGUGGCCUCCCUAUGUGGUAGCAGGUGGGAAUCCUCACUGGGGCCCAAGGGUCACAAAACCCUGGCUUUAGAAUCAGUCUGAGUUCAAGUGGGUCCCACCACCUGCCAGCUCUGUGACCUUGAACCCAACAGGACAACCAUCUGCAAACAAGGAAGUGGGCUCUUACCAGACACCAGAUCUGCCAGCACCUUGACCUUGGACUUCCCACCCUCAGAACUGUGAGAAAUAAAUGACUGUGGUUCAAGCCACCCAAACUAUGCAUUUGCCAGCCAUGACAUUGGGUCUCAAACCACAGAAAUGGCUCCGAGCAGCCUCAGCAGAAGCGGGAUUUAUUAGAAGGUUACAGCGUGACCUAUGGGAUUGAUCAGAGGGACCGACCACAGGAAGACGUGGCUGACCACUGCUGCUGCAGCACCACUGUAUGUGGCCAGGUUCUCAACAGUUCCUGCCUUUUGUGGCCUCCCCUCAGACUCCAGUUCUGGGCAGUGUCCGUGAGCUUGGUUCUGGGCCUGCACCCUCGUCAGUGGAGAAAGUCAUGUUUUCUGGUGUUGUCACAAGGACCUUCCUGAGGACUGCCACAUCUUUCCACAUGGCUCCAUUCCAGUUUUCAAGUCUGUGGGGAAACAACGAUGAACUGGCCAUUCUCCUAUGUUUAGGCCUUUUCCUUCUCAGCUGAAAUAGACAAGGAUGAGUCAGCUUCUUCCAACCUCCAGCAUCUCCCAGUCCUCCCGUGACUCAGAGGAUGGUCUGUUUAAUGGGUAAGUGCUCCUCCCAGGAAGUUGGCAGCCCCAGCCUCCCCCUACCUGAGUCACUGUUCUCGGGUGCUCCUAUCUAGACUCAUGGCCACCGAGACGGGAGAGGCAGGCCCAGGAAGAUCAGCGAUAAGUGGCCCAGGGAGGAGGAUGGGCGUUGAAAGGCUAAGGUGCAGGAGGCUAAAUUUGUUCCUCAUUUGCUGGUGGCUUUGGAUGGACCCACAAAGGAUCCAGCGUCCCUAUUUGAAAAUGGGAGAAACUGUGUAUCCUACCACGCAGUAGACUCAAUAGCAGCCCAAAAGAAGAGGAGCCCUCAGGGAGUAUAUCUGGGUGGAGACACACUUUGGAGCUUUCCUGAGCAAGAGGAAGGGAACCCUAGGGGCGGUCCAUCUUUGCAGAUUUAUUGCACAAGCUGUAUCCUGAGCAGAGCCUGCAGGGGGUGGGGAGGCCUCCAUGGGAGGAGGGGCAGGAGCUCAGCCAUGGGGAGGCUGGCUAGAGGCAAGGGACUUUGGCAGGUAGGGGCACCUGGGAGCACCGUUGGGGGCCCAGAGCAGCUGGUAGAAACACAGCAGGCUGAGACCAUGCUUGGUACUGCCUGAGUUGCUGGUUCUCACUUUCUUCUUUCUCUUUCUCCUUCACUGCCUCCCUGCUCUGUCUCUAUCCAUCUUUGUCUCUCUUUGUCUUCUCCCCAACCCUUUUCUCUCCUCCCACCGUCUCUCCUACAUCAGCAUAGUGGAGGCUCCCCUCCCUGUGGGUUGAGUGUUUUCUUUCCUGUUUAGAUGGUGACUGGCAUCCAUCUGCUUAUGAUGGCAGCAAUCAACCCAUCCUGUUUACUUGUCGCUGACACAGUGGCUGUGGUCAGUGAGGCUAUCCACCACAGCCCCCCAGGGUGGGGUGGGGACCCAGAUGCUGACACGCACAGGCAGACACUCAGCCAUGACCAGGUUAGUCUGCUCCACGAGAGCCAGGAGGUCCUGGGCUGUCCUGCUCUGAUGUCUGAUGUGGCACAGCCAGCUGGGCUGAGGUCACCUCCUCUGCUGCUGACGUUCAUGGCCCAGCAUGCUUGGCACAGACUCAGGGCUCAGAGACAAUCUCCUGACUGAAGCUGAGUGCACAGUGCACAGCUCCUUAAAGAGCUGGGAGGUCUCAGAAGUGAGAAGGGCAGGGCACACAGGGAUCAAUGUUAGAAGGCAUUUUGCUCGGAGCUCCCAUUUUCACAUGGGGGAGUUAGGACCAGAGAAGGCAAAGGGCUUGUGAAAUGGGUCACCCUUUACCACAUCCCCUCUCUGCUCAGCGUCUCCUGCUUGGGCCCCUCCCUCCAAGUUCAAGUGAUUAGAGCUGCACAUUUUAGUGUGUUUUCCCAAAUCCUGCACAGUGGUACUGUUGAGGGGUAGGCUGGAGAUGGUCCAGGUUUCCAGGGCUUGGUGCUAUGAGCAGGGAAAGGGGCAGGGGAAAAGCCAGAUCUGGGAGAGUAGGUGGUGGUGGUCGUGGACCGUUAAAUAGAGGCAUGGAGGAACCAAGGCCAAGAAGAUGAGGUUCUCUGUUUUCUAGGUGCUUCCUGGGACCUGACUCCUAAACUCUGAGCACAAGGGCCUUAGCAGACAAAGAUGCCAAACAUAAAAGCCAAGAAACAAACAAAACCCACAGAAGUUGAGAGUGUAGGUGGAUGCCCUUUGAUGCCUCGACGAGGUUCUUGGAAUUCUUGAGGUCAUAAGAGCCUGCUUCAUGGCGAGAUUGCAUGCCAUGUUUGGUGAAGAGGCAGACAGACCUGGGCUUGGUGGGCCCGACUCUGCCACUCACAGCUGUGUGACGAGCCCAUGCUUCUACUUAAGAAAUUGUCUGAAAUUCAGAUUGAACUGGGUGUCCUAUAUUUUUAUUUGCUAAA